AAUAGAUACCCUGGUAGUCCACGCCGUAAACGUUGGAUACUAGGUGUGGGCGUCCCGAUCAACGGAUGCCGUGCCGAAGCUAACGCAUUAAGUAUCCCGCCUGGGGAGUACGGCCGCAAGGCUAAAACUCAAAGGAAUUGACGGGUCCCCGCACAAGCGGCGGAGCAUGCGGCUUAAUUCGAUGCAACCCGAAGAACCUUACCUGGGUUUGAAAUCAUGGGAAAAGCUGUAGAAAUACAGUGUCCGUAAGGGCCCAUGACAGGUGGUGCAUGGCUGUCGUCAGCUCGUGUCGUGAGAUGUUGGGUUAAGUCCCGCAACGAGCGCAACCCUUGUCCUAUGUUGCCAGCGGUUCGGCCGGGGACUCAUAGGAGACUGCCGGGAAUAACUCGGAGGAAGGUGGGGACGACGGUCAAGUCAUCAUGCCCCUUAUAUCCAGGGCUGCACGCAUGCUACAAUGGUCGGUACAACGGGCAGCGACCCCGCGAGGGUGAGCGAAUCCCACAAAGCCGGCCUCAGUUCGGAUUGGAGUCUGCAACUCGACU
rnacentral:rRNA from 1 species